CGCGUAGGCGGAUUUUCUAGUCAGGCGUGAAAGCCCCGGGCUCAACCCGGGAACUGCGUUUGAUACUGGAAGUCUAGAGUUCUGGAGAGGGUGGUGGAAUUCCCAGUGUAGAGGUGAAAUUCGUAGAUAUUGGGAAGAACACCGGUGGCGAAGGCGGCCACCUGGCCAGACACUGACGCUAAGGCGCGAAAGCGUUGGGAGCAAACAGGAUUAGAUACCCUGGUAGUCC
rnacentral:rRNA from 1 species